CCUACGGGUGGCAGCAGUGGGGAAUAUUGGACAAUGGGCGAAAGCCUGAUCCAGCAAUGCCGCGUGAGUGAAGAAGGCCUUCGGGUUGUAAAGCUCUUUUACCCGGGAAGAUAAUGACUGUACCGGGAGAAUAAGCCCCGGCUAACUCCGUGCCAGCAGCCGCGGUAAUACGGAGGGGGCUAGCGUUGUUCGGAAUUACUGGGCGUAAAGCGCACGUAGGCGGCUUGGUAAGUUAGAGGUGAAAGCCCGGGGCUCAACCCCGGAAUAGCCUUUAAGACUGCCUCGCUUGAACGUCGGAGAGGUGAGUGGAAUUCCGAGUGUAGAGGUGAAAUUCGUAGAUAUUCGGAAGAACACCAGUGGCGAAGGCGGCUCACUGGACGACUGUUGACGCUGAGGUGCGAAAGCGUGGGGAGCAAACAGGAUUAGAUACCCUAGUAGUC
rnacentral:rRNA from 1 species